UCAUUUGAUGUUUCCUAAUUUCUAAAAUGGAGUCCAAAUUUAGAGUUAAAUGCUUGUUAGUAACAAUAAUAUUUAUUUUUGUGGGUGAUGAUAUGCAGGUAUCCAAUGGGUGUCUUCAAGAUGAAAGAUUGGGUUUGUUGCAAAUCAAGGCCUUCUUUUUAUCGCAUAAUAUCAACCAAAACUCCAAUCCUUUUGAUUCAUGGGUUGGAGCUAAUUGUUGCAAUUGGACUCGAGUUCGUUGCAAUAAUCUCACUUCCGAUGCCCAGGAUUUAAUGAAUUUUCAAGUUUCAACAAAUUAGAGGUAUUAUAUCUAGGAGGAAAUUGCUUUGGUAAUAAUAUUUCCUCAUCUGUAAGUAGACUUACAUCUUUGAAGCAAUUAUCACUUUACUACACCUGUUUGGAAGGAUCUAUUUCUUUAUCCGGAUUGGAAAGAUUACAGAUUUUAAAUCUCAAAAGCAAUAAUCUCAACAAUAGUAUAUUUUCAUCUUUGAGGGGACUUGUAUCGUUAAAGACUUUGACUCUUCGUAGUAAUAAUUUGAGAGAUAUUGCAAAAUUAAAAAGCUUGGAAAUAUUUGAUCUUUCAAACAAUAAUUAUUACGAUGGAGCAAUACCCUUGCAAGAUUUGAAGAAUUUAAGAGCAUUGGAUCUAUCAUAUAAUACAUUCAAUGGUUCACUUCCAAUACAAGGAUUUUGCUGCUUGAGUUGGAUAUUAAUAAUAAUGAUAUUAGAGGUAAAUUUUCAGACUGUAUUGGAAACUUCACUAGACUCCAAUAU